rnacentral:rRNA from 1 species
CAGGCCUAACACAUGCAAGUCGAACGCCCGAGCAAUCGGGAGUGGCAGACGGGUGAGUAACACGUGGGAACAUACCCUCAGGUUCGGAACAACGCCGGGAAACUGGCGCUAAUACCGGAUACGCCCUUUUGGGGAAAGGCUUGCUGCCUGAGGAUUGGCCCGCGUUCGAUUAGCUAGAUGGCGGGGUAACGGCCCACCAUGGCGACGAUCGAUAGCUGGGUUGAGAGGAUGGCCAGCCACAUUGGGACUGAGACACGGCCCAAACUCCUACGGGAGGCAGCAGUGGGAAUAUUGGACAAUGGGCGCAAGCCUGAUCCAGCCAUGCCGCGUGAGUGAUGACGGCCUUAGGGUUGUAAAGCGAUUGCGCACGCGACGAUAAUGACGGG